UAGGCGGCAGGUACCAAACGCUGCAGACGAUGGCCCAGCUGCUCAUCAUCCUCAGCAGAUAAUUCACCAUGCCAAACUCACUGCUGUUCCAGAAAGCAUCUCCAAACCGAGGAUCAUACUGCGGGACGAAAACACAAAUCAUAUCACAUAUAUCCAGUAUGUGAGGAGAGGAUUUGACCAUGGCGCGCUGAAUCAUUCCCAUCAACCCUCCAUGUGCCUGGCCAACCUGAGAUAUGAGUACACUCAAGCAGGCAAACAGCUUGGUGAAAAGGGAACAAAUACCCAGUUCCAUCUAUACACCUUACACAUUUCAAUGUUAUAUUCUUUGAAACAAAGACAUUUACAAAACUGUUAAAAUGCGAGUAUUACUGUUCUGAUAGUUACAUGUUUUCAGUGAAUUAAAGUGUAUCUUAAAAAGCUGCUGAAUAUCAAACAUUGAACCUGUUAUGAUAGGUGAUGAUUGCUGUGAGA